UGCACAUAUUUUAACAAUAUACUUAAUUUAUAAAAAUACUUUAAAAAUAUUUAUAUUUUUCCACUCACAGAUUUAUGGAUAGAAAUUUGGCUAAAUUGACGAGUCUUUCUAAGUUUUCACGUCACUACCUGAAAUAACGGUAUAAUAAUUACUCAAAUUGAAACUUGACAAUUAAAUUAAUACAAUUCCACCACUUAACUCCUCAACUUCUAUAUUUACUCUUACAUCUCCAAUCCCCAACUUUUAUUCUCUUUAUUAAUUCAUCAACUAAACACCAUGUUAAAAUCUAUUAAAUUACCCACACUUCCUUAAAAUCAAUAACUUAUACAUAUACAAGCCCUAUGCAUAAUUUAUUCCAAUACAUAAACCUCAAUACUUGUCAUAUAACUUCAUUCAAGCCUUUAAAAACCUGAAAAUAAGAGUUUUGUCAAAAACAGCACUAAAAUCCCAUAAUAUUGAAAUCAGGCACCAAUUUCUGCAUAUUAAAAUCUGGCAUCAAAACCAUUGACAGAAAUGACACUUUUCUGGACAGAAUUUCAUGAAUAGCACCUGCACAUGAAUUUUGCUCGAAAAUUUAUUAUAAAUUCCAAAAUCUAACCUAAAAUUCUUUUACCACUCUAAUUCAUCAUAAAUCAAGUGUUUUAUAUCAUAUAAACACAAUAAUUCAAAGAUUGGAACUCUAAUUUACAAACCCAUUUCACAUUUCCUUUCUUUCAAUACUAAUAUUAUUGUUGUUUUUAAUGCCUCAAACAUAUAUCAAUAAUUAUUAAUUUUGCUAACCCUUAAAUUUGAGAAAAUUUCCAUAAACUCAAAAAGAUAAUUCAUCCUACUUACACCCACCUCUCUAAAUCAAUGGAGAAUCCAAGCUUGAAGACCCACUUCUUCUCUCUCUCUUUUUUAUUUUUUCUCUCUUUCUUUCUUUUUCUCCUUUUCCUUCUCUCUGUCUUGGUUUUUC
rnacentral:lncRNA from 1 species